AUUGAACGCUGGCGGCAGGCCUAACACAUGCAAGUCGAGCGGAUGAAGGGAGCUUGCUCCUGGAUUCAGCGGCGGACGGGUGAGUAAUGCCUAGGAAUCUGCCUGGUAGUGGGGGAUAACGUCCGGAAACGGGCGCUAAUACCGCAUACGUCCUGAGGGAGAAAGUGGGGGAUCUUCGGACCUCACGCUAUCAGAUGAGCCUAGGUCGGAUUAGCUAGUUGGUGGGGUAAAGGCCUACCAAGGCGACGAUCCGUAACUGGUCUGAGAGGAUGAUCAGUCACACUGGAACUGAGACACGGUCCAGACUCCUACGGGAGGCAGCAGUGGGGAAUAUUGGACAAUGGGGGAAAGCCUGAUCCAGCCAUGCCGCGUGUGUGAAGAAGGUCUUCGGAUUGUAAAGCACUUUAAGUUGGGAGGAAGGGCAGUAAGUUAAUACCUUGCUGUUUUGACGGUACCAACAGAAUAAGCACCGGCUAACUUCGUG
rnacentral:rRNA from 1 species